UUUCAUCCUCAGAACUUUUAAUUAGUUAUUGAUGAAUAAGUCAACCUACACUUUUUUUUUGUAUUUAUUUUGUACGUAGCUGUUUAGCUCAAUUCAUCUUAAUUAUGAUACUUUUUUUCAGAUCAUUCUCUUGGGUUUUCCAGAAACAUCUCUGUAUUGGAUCUAUACCUUUUGUAUAUCCCAUAGCUUAUUGUGUUGACUAGUAGUUCCUAAGCUAUUUCACACAAAAGUAAUAAAAGCAAGAAUGCAUGUUUAGUUUGUGGUUUUAGUUCAUGAUUUUUGAUUUAAAAUGUUAUGGUCAAAAGCAAGAAAAUACUGUAAAUAUUUUAAAAGCAUAUAGGAUGUAUCACUUUCUUCCUAUUUUCAAAGUUUAUGCAUUUGUUUUAAUUUUUUUAACUGUCUUAUAAGCAUCUAUGGAGAUAAAUAAGCACUUUUUCUUAGUCAACUUAUGUAUGUGUUAUGUUAACAUAUAGUAUGAAACGUCCAUAUAUUAAUCCAUCCCCACAUUCCUAGAAUGAACACCACUUGGUUGGUGGACUGUUUUAGUAUAUUUUCUACAUUCCUCCUUUGUUGGUGACUGUAUUCUUUAUUUUAAUGCAACAGAAUAAUUACUUAUGCCAGAACAGAAUGCUGCUAUGCAAUAAACACGUUCUUAUGAAGCCAAGUCACAGAGAAAACACAGGAUGUAAAUGAGCAAAAAAUGAUUCUAGCUUUUCCAAAAAUCUCUGUGGCUGCAUGGAAAGCCAAAAUCAUUCUCAGGGUGAAAAAUAACAAGAGAAUACUCUUGGGCUAAAAUCACUAUUUUUGGUCACAAUUGCCCUUGUAAGUAGCAGUUACUUUUAACGGCAUUAUCUUCAAAUAUCAAGCAGCAUCAUAGGCAAUAAAGAGUAUUUUAUGUAAUAAAGAGAAUAUAUACAUAAGGGUAGAUAGAACAGGGAACCAAUGUCAUAGAUACAAGGAAGUCUAUAUUCCAAAUGACAUCAGCCAAGCCUUUGUCAUGGCCACCCCAGUGUGAUCCAAUAGGUGAACAAAUGGAAUAAUCUUGGUGCCAAGAAUAAAAGCUAUGCAUUACCCAACAGCAUCAACUCCCAUUCACCAACGUGCUCUUGCUAUUGCCAUUACCUAAAUAUGGAAUUUGUUAGCAACGGAGAUUAAUGCUGAGCCCCAGAAUGGCACCAUCCCUCAAGGACACCAAUCAAUCAUUUGGUGCAAGUUAUUUACGAAAAGUAUCUCAGAGAAGCUGUUUCCAUAUGGGAUGAAAUUAUUAUACAAAGCAAAUGGAUCUGAAUGGCUCCUUCUUUGUCAUGGAAAUACCUAAGGACACUAGGACAUUAAGGAUGUUUAGCUGAGAAAAGAGAAGCUACAGAGCUUCUGUCAGGCUGUCUUCAAUCUCAGAGUCAUCUAAAGAGAAGAGGUCCCCGGCUCGGGAAAGAUCUUUUUGUCCUAAAACCAG